rnacentral:tRNA from 13 species
UGCAUCGGCCGGGAAUCGAACCCGGGCCAGCCGCGUAGCAGGCGAGCAUUCUACCACUGAACCACCGAUGC